GUCUCCAAGGUUAGCAGCCUCUGGUCAAUAGAACAAAGUAGGUAAGGGAAGUCGGCAAAAUGGUUCCGCAACUUCGGGAGAAGGAAUGGCUCUGAAGGCUGGGUGCGGGGGUCCUCCGCUUGAGGCCGGCUGGCUGCGCUGGGACUACGGCCUUUGCGCCGCGGACCCGGCGCGGCCGUCCGGCGGACGGCGGAGGAGCGCUCCGGCAUUCCCCGCACGCUGAACAGCCGCUUCAGAACUGGCGCGGACAAGGGGAAUCCGACUGU
rnacentral:rRNA from 1 species